GCUGGCGGCGGCCUACACAUGCAAGUCGAGCGGAUGACAGGAGCUUGCUCCUGAAUUCAGUCGGCGGACGGGUGAGUAAUGCCUAGGAAUCUGCCUGGUAGUGGGGGACAACGUUUCGAAUAGGAACGCUAAUACCGCAUACGUCCUACGGGAGAAAGCAGGGGACCUUCGGGCCUUGCGCUAUCAGAUGAGCCUAGGUCGGAUUAGCUAGUUGGUGAGGUAAUGGCUCACCAAGGCGACGAUCCGUAACUGGUCUGAGAGGAUGAUCAGUCACACUGGAACUGAGACACGGUCCAGACUCCUACGGGAGGCAGCAGUGGGGAAUAUUGGACAAUGGGCGAAAGCCUGAUCCAGCCAUGCCGCGUGUGUGAAGAAGGUCUUCGGAUUGUAAAGCACUUUAAGUUGGGAGGAAGGGCAUUAACCUAAUACGUUAGUGUUUUGACGUUACCGACAGAAUAAGCACCGGCUAACUCUGUGCCAGCAGCCGCGGUAAUACAGAGGGUGCAAGCGUUAAUCGGAAUUACUGGGCGUAAAGCGCGCGUAGGUGGUUUGUUAAGUUGGAUGUGAAAGCCCCGGGCUCAACCUGGGAACUGCAUUCAAAACUGACAAGCUAGGAGUAUGGUAGAGGGUGGUGGAAUUUCCUGUGUAGCGGUGANAUGCGUAGAUAUAGGAAGGAACACCAGNGGCGAAGGCGACCACCUGGACUGAUACUG
rnacentral:rRNA from 1 species